rnacentral:miRNA from 1 species
AGAGCUGUGCUGGGCAUCACA